CGGCGGACGGGUGAGUAACGCGUGGGUAACCUGCCUCAUACAGGGGGAUAACAGUUAGAAAUGACUGCUAAUACCGCAUAAGACCACAGCACCGCAUGGUGCGGGGGUAAAAACUCCGGUGGUAUGAGAUGGACCCGCGUCUGAUUAGCUGGUUGGUGGGGUAACGGCCUACCAAGGCGACGAUCAGUAGCCGACCUGAGAGGGUGACCGGCCACAUUGGGACUGAGACACGGCCCAA
rnacentral:rRNA from 1 species